GGAUUGUGGCUCAGCGGUAGAGCGCUCGCCUAGCACGGGUGAGACCCGGGUUCGAUUCUCAGCACCA
rnacentral:tRNA from 1 species